UACAGAGGUCUCAAGCGUUGUUCGGAUUCAUUGGGCGUAAAGGGUGCGUAGGUGGCGCCGUAAGUGGGGUGUGAAAUUUCGGAGCUUAACUCCGAAACUGCAUUCCAUACUGCGGUGCUUGAGGACUGGAGAGGAGACUGGAAUUUACGGUGUAGCGGUGAAAUGCGUAGAUAUCGUAAGGAAGACCAGUGGCGAAGGCGGGUCUCUGGACAGUUCCUGACGCUGAGGCACGAAGGCCAGGGGAGCAAACGGG
rnacentral:rRNA from 1 species